UAUUUGUAGAAGUUUCUCUGUGUAGAGGAG
rnacentral:piRNA from 1 species